rnacentral:misc_RNA from 1 species
CCGAGUUAGGGUCUUCUGGCCCAACCUCCAACCCCAUGUGUAUGAUGCAUGUUGCUUCGGCGGUGCCAUGUGCCCGUCGGAGACAGUUAAAGCCAACUUCAGUUUGUGUUGUCUGAGUAAAUAUAUCUAAAUCGUUA